rnacentral:rRNA from 1 species
GAAACCCGGUGAUCUAGCCAUGGGCAGGUUGAAGGUUGGGUAACACUAACUGGAGGACCGAACCGACUAAUGUUGAAAAAUUAGCGGAUGACUUGUGGCUGGGGGUGAAAGGCCAAUCAAACCGGGAGAUAGCUGGUUCUCCCCGAAAGCUAUUUAGGUAGCGCCUCGUGAAUUCAUCUCCGGGGGUAGAGCACUGUUUCGGCAAGGGGGUCAUCCCGACUUACCAACCCGAUGCAAACUGCGAAUACCGGAGAAUGUUAUCACGGGAGACACACGGCGGGUGCUAACGUCCGUCGUGAAGAGGGAAACAACCCAGACCGCCAGCUAAGGUCCCAAAGUCAUGGUUAAGUGGGAAACGAUGUGGGAAGGCCCAGACAGCCAGGAUGUUGGCUUAGAAGCAGCCAUCAUUUAAAGAAAGCGUAAUAGCUCACUGGUCGAGUCGGCCUGCGCGGAAGAUGUAACGGGGCUAAACCAUGCACCGAAGCUGCGGCAGCGACACUAUGUGUUGUUGGGUAGGGGAGCGUUCUGUAAGCCUGUGAAGGUGGCCUGUGAGGGUUGCUGGAGGUAUCAGAAGUGCGAAUGCUGACAUAAGUAACGAUAAAGCGGGUGAAAAGCCCGCUCGCCGGAAGACCAAGGGUUCCUGUCCAACGUUAAUCGGGGCAGGGUGAGUCGACCCCUAAGGCGAGGCCGAAAGGCGUAGUCGAUGGGAAACAGGUUAAUAUUCCUGUACUUGGUGUUACUGCGAAGGGGGGACGGAGAAGGCUAUGUUGGCCGGGCGACGGUUGUCCCGGUUUAAGCGUGUAGGCUGGUUUUCCAGGCAAAUCCGGAAAACCAAGGCUGAGGCGUGAUGACGAGGCACUACGGUGCUGAAGCGACAAAUGCCCUGCUUCCAGGAAAAGCCUCUAAGCAUCAGGUAACAUCAAAUCGUACCCCAAACCGACACAGGUGGUCAGGUAGAGAAUACCAAGGCGCUUGAGAGAACUCGGGUGAAGGAACUAGGCAAAAUGG